UACGUAGGGGGCGAGCGUUGUCCGGAAUCAUUGGGCGUAAAGAGCGUGUAGGCGGCUUGGCAAGUCUGACGUGAAAGCCCACGGCUCAACCGCGGAUUGUCGUUGGAAACUGCCUCGCUAGAGUCCGGAAGAGGAGAGCGGAAUUCCUGGUGUAGCGGUGGAAUGCGCAGAUAUCAGGAAGAACACCCGUGGCGAAGGCGGCUCUCUGGGACGGUACUGACGCUGAGACGCGAAAGCGUGGGGAGCGAACAGG
rnacentral:rRNA from 1 species